rnacentral:rRNA from 1 species
UACGUAGGGGGCGAGCGUUGUCCGGAUUUAUUGGGCGUAAAGAGCGUGUAGGCGGUUCGGUAAGUCUGUCGUGAAAUCCUGAGGCUCAACCUCGGGCGUGCGAUGGAUACUGCCGGGCUAGAGGGUGGUAGAGGCGAGUGGAAUUCCCGGUGUAGCGGUGAAAUGCGCAGAUAUCGGGAGGAACACCAGUAGCGAAGGCGGCUCGCUGAGCCACACCUGACGCUGAGACGCGAAAGCUAGGGGAGCGAACAGG